GCCUAGUUAGCUUAGCUGGUAGUGCGUCUGCCUUGUAAGCGCUAGGCCGCGGGUUCGAUUCCCGCCCGGAGCA
rnacentral:tRNA from 1 species